rnacentral:rRNA from 1 species
GUGGCGAGUGGCGAACGGGUGAGUAAUACAUCGGAACGUGUCCUGUAGUGGGGGAUAGCCCGGCGAAAGCCGGAUUAAUACCGCAUACGAUCUGUGGAUGAAAGCGGGGGAUCCUUCGGGACCUCGCGCUACAGGGGCGGCCGAUGGCAGAUUAGCUAGUUGGUGGGGUAAAGGCCUACCAAGGCGACGAUCUGUAGCUGGUCUGAGAGGACGACCAGCCACACUGGGACUGAGACACGGCCCAGACUCCUACGGGAGGCAGCAGUGGGGAAUUUUGGACAAUGGGCGAAAGCCUGAUCCAGCAAUGCCGCGUGUGUGAAGAAGGCCUUCGGGUUGUAAAGCACUUUUGUCCGGAAAGAAAACCUCGUGGUUAAUACCCGUGGGGGAUGACGGUACCGGAAGAAUAAGCACCGGCUAACUACGUGCCAGCAGCCGCGGUAAUACGUAGGGUGCAAGCGUUAAUCGGAAUUACUGGGCGUAA